rnacentral:lncRNA from 1 species
GGACACUGGGGGCACCCGUGCACUGAGCACCCACCCCUCAGAGCUCAGCCCCCUGCUGGGCACCCUCCACAGCAGGUCCAAGCCUCGUGAGCUGUCCCUCUCACACCACGUCUGCUGGGCACCCUCCAUGGCAGGUCCAAGCCUCAUGAGCCAUCUCUCUCCCACCACAUCUGCCGGGCACCCUCCAUGGCAGGUCCAAGCCCUGUGAGCCGUCCCUCUCACACCACGUCUGCUGGGCACCCUCCACCAGGUCCAAGCCUCGUGAGCCGUCCCUCUCACGCCACGUCUGCCGGGCACCCUCCACGGCAGGUCCGAGCUUUGUGAACCGUCCCUCUCACGUCUGCUUUGAGGGUUUGUG